GGUGGUUAUUUUCACAUGAUCCAUUCUGGAGGCCUGCACAAAUGAAGACACUUUUACAUUAUGUUCCUGCAGGGAGGGUGGUAGUCCUUGAUCUGUUUGCUGAAAUGAAACUGAUAUGUGAAUUGAACUUGUAGAGUUAGAGUUUGAUUGAUUGAUGUACUGAGUACUGCUACUUGUACAUUUUUAAUUGUCAUUUUGUAAAUGAAAUUACUUAUAAUGAUAAUCUGAUUGAAAUGUUUCUCUUA